rnacentral:ncRNA from 1 species
UGGUUGAUCCUGCCAGUAGUCAUAUGCUUCUCUCAAAGAUUAAGCCAUGCAAGUCUAAGUACGAGCUCUCGUACAGUGAAACUGCGAAUGGCUCAUUAAAUCAGUUAUGGUUCAUUUGAUCGUACAGUUUACUUGGAUAACUGUGGUAAUUCUAGAGCUAAUACAUGCGAGAAGCGCCGACCUCGCGGGAGGCGUGCAUUUAUCAGACCAAAAACCGGCCGCGUCUUCGGGCGCGUUCGCCUUGGUGACUCUGGAUAACUUUGCGGAUCGCACGGUCUAGCACCGGCGACGGAUCAUUCAAGUGUCUGCCCUAUCAACUUUCGUCGGUACGGUAUUUGCCUACCGAGGUUCUUACGGGUGACGGGGAAUCAGGGUUCGAUUCCGGAGAGGGAGCCUGAGAAACGGCUACCACAUCCAAGGAAGGCAGCAGGCGCGCAAAUUACCCAUUCCCGACGCGGGGAGGUAGUGACGAAAAAUAACAAUGCAGGACUCGUUCGAGGCCCUGUAAUUGGAAUGAGUACACUUUAAAAGCUUUAACGAGUAUCCAUUGGAGGGCAAGUCUGGUGCCAGCAGCCGCGGUAAUUCCAGCUCCAAAAGUAUAUAUUUAAGUUGUUGCGGUUAAAAAGCUCGUAGUUGGAUUUUGGGCGCAGGCGGCCGGUCCGUCGCAAGGCGUGUACUGGACGUCCUGGCCUUCGUACUCG